AUUGAUCGCUGGCGGCAGGUCUAACACAUGCAAGUCGAACGAUUGGCGGACGGGUGAGUAAUGUCUGGGAAACUGCCCGAUGGAGGGGGAUAACUACUGGAAACGGUAGCUAAUACCGCAUACCAUCGGAUGUGCCACGAUGGGAUUAGCUCGUAGGUGGGGUAACGGCUCACCUAGGCGACGAUCCCUAGCUGGUCUGAGAGGAUGACCGUCCACCGUGUAACUGGAAGACGUUCCCGACUCCUACAGGAGGUAGCAGUGAGGAAUAUUGCACAAUGGGCACAAGCCUGAUGCUGCCAUGCCGCGUGUAUGAAGAAGGCCUUCAGGUUGUAAAGUACUUUCAGCGGGGAGGCGUUACCCGCAGAAGAAGCACCGGCUCACUCCGUGCCAGCAGCCGCGGUAAUUC
rnacentral:rRNA from 1 species